UUGGAGGGCAAGUCUGGUGCCAGCAGCCGCGGUAAUUCCAGCUCCAAUAGCGUAUAUUAAAGUUGUUGCAGUUAAAAAGCUCGUAGUUGAAUUUCGGGGUUAGUAGGUUGGUCAUGCCUCUGGUAUGUACUGGUCUCACUGAUUCCUCCUUCCUGAUGAGCCGUAAUGCCAUUAAUUUGGUGUUGCGGGGAAUUUGGACUGUUACUUUGAAAAAAUUAGAGUGUUUAAAGCAAGCUAACGCUUGAAUACAUUAGCAUGGAAUAAUGAAAUAGGACGUUCGAUCCUAUUUUGUUGGUUUCUAGGAUUGACGUAAUGAUUAAUAGGGAUAGUUGGGGGCAUUAGUAUUCAAUUGUCAGAGGUGAAAUUCUUGGAUUUAUUGAAGACUAACUACUGCGAAAGCAUUUGCCAAGGAUGUUUUCAUUAAUCAAGAACGAAAGUUAGGGGAUCGAAGACGAUCAGAUACCGUCGUAGUCUUAACCAUAAACUAUGCCGACUAGGGAUCGGAUGAUGUUAAUUUUUUAAUGACUCAUUCGGCGCCUUACGGGAAA
rnacentral:rRNA from 1 species